rnacentral:rRNA from 1 species
GGAUAACUGCGGGCCAGGAGGCGCGGGAAUACGGAGGGUUGGAGGGUUAAACGGAAUGAAUGGGCGUAAAGCGCGCGUAGGGUGUUUAAGAAGUCGGAUGUGAAAGCCCCGGGCUCAACCUAGGAGUUGCAGUCGAGACUGUUAGGCUAGAGUACGGUAGAGGGGGGUAGAAUUCCCGGUGUAGCGGUGAAAUGCGUAGAUAUCGGGAGGAAUACCAGUGGCGAAGGCGGCCCCCUGGACUGAUACUGACGCUGAGGUGCGAAAGCGCGGGGAGCAAACAGGAUUAGAUACCCUGGUAGC